rnacentral:rRNA from 1 species
AGUGAACGCUGGCGGUAGGCCUAACACAUGCAAGUCGAACGGCAGCACAGUAAGAGCUUGCUCUUACGGGUGGCGAGUGGCGGACGGGUGAGGAAUACAUCGGAAUCUACUUUUUCGUGGGGGAUAACGUAGGGAAACUUACGCUAAUACCGCAUACGACCUACGGGUGAAAGCAGGGGAUCUUCGGACCUUGCGCGAUUGAAUGAGCCGAUGUCGGAUUAGCUAGUUGGCGGGGUAAAGGCCCACCAAGGCGACGAUCCGUAGCUGGUCUGAGAGGAUGAUCAGCCACCCUGGAACUGAGACACGGUCCAGACUCCUACGGGAGGCAGCAGUGGCGAAUAUUGGACAAUGGGCGCAAGCCUGAUCCAGCCAUACCGCGUGGGUGAAGAAGGCCUUCGGGUUGUAAAGCCCUUUUGUUGGGAAAGAAAAGCAGCAGGUUAAUACCCCGCUGUUCUGACGGUACCCAAAGAAUAAGCACCGGCUAACUUCGUG